GACGAACGCUGGCGGCGUGCUUAACACAUGCAAGUCGAACGGAAAGGCCCUGCUUUUGUGGGGUGCUCGAGUGGCGAACGGGUGAGUAACACGUGAGUAACCUGCCCUUGACUUUGGGAUAACUUCAGGAAACUGGGGCUAAUACCGGAUAGGAGCUCCUGCUGCAUGGUGGGGGUUGGAAAGUUUCGGCGGUUGGGGAUGGACUCGCGGCUUAUCAGCUUGUUGGUGGGGUAAUGGCUUACCAAGGCUUUGACGGGUAGCCGGCCUGAGAGGGUGACCGGCCACAUUGGGACUGAGAUACGGCCCAGACUCCUACGGGAGGCAGCAGUGGGGAAUAUUGCACAAUGGGCGGAAGCCUGAUGCAGCAACGCCGCGUGCGGGAUGACGGCCUUCGGGUUGUAAACCGCUUUCGCCUGUGACGAAGCGUGAGUGACGGUAAUGGGUAAAGAAGCACCGGCUAACUACGUGCCAGCAGCCGCGGUGAUACGUAGGGUGCGAGCGUUGUCCGGAUUUAUUGGGCGUAAAGGGCUCGUAGGUGGUUGAUCGCGUCGGAAGUGUAAUCUUGGGGCUUAACCCUGAGCGUGCUUUCGAUACGGGUUGACUUGAGGAAGGUAGGAGAGAAUGGAAUUCCUGGUGGAGCGGUGGAAUGCGCAGAUAUCAGGAGGAACACCAGUGGCGAAGGCGGUUCUCUGGGCCUUUCCUGACGCUGAGGAGCGAAAGCGUGGGGAGCGAACAGGCUUAGAUACCCUGGUAGUCCACGCUGUAAACGGUGGGUACUAGGUGUGGGGUCCAUUCCACGGGUUCCGUGCCGUAGCUAACGCUUUAAGUACCCCGCCUGGGGAGUACGGCCGCAAGGCUAAAACUCAAAGGAAUUGACGGGGCCCCGCACAAGCGGCGGAGCAUGCGGAUUAAUUCGAUGCAACGCGUAGAACCUUACCUGGGUUUGACAUGGAUCGGGAGUGCUCAGAGAUGGGUGUGCCUCUUUUGGGGUCGGUUCACAGGUGGUGCAUGCCUGUCGUCAGCUCGUGUCGUGAGAUGUUGGGUUAAGUCCCGCAACGAGCGCAACCCUUGUUCACUGUUGCCAGCACGUUAUGGUGGGGACUCAGUGGAGACCGCCGGGGUCAACUCGGAGGAAGGUGGGGAUGACGUCAAGUCAUCAUGCCCCUUAUGUCCAGGGCUUCACGCAUGCUACAAUGGCUGGUACAGAGAGUGGCGAGCCUGUGAGGGUGAGCGAAUCUCGGAAAGCCGGUCUCAGUUCGGAUUGGGGUCUGCAACUCGACCUCAUGAAGUCGGAGUCGCUAGUAAUCGCAGAUCAGCAACGCUGCGGUGAAUACGUUCCCGGG
rnacentral:rRNA from 1 species